rnacentral:rRNA from 1 species
GACGAACGCUGGCGGCGUGCUUAACACGUGCAAGUCGAACGGAAAGGCCCUGCUUUUGUGGGGUGCUCGAGUGGCGAACGGGUGAGUAACACGUGAGUAACCUGCCCUUGACUUUGGGAUAACUUCAGGAAACUGGGGCUAAUACCGGAUAGGAGCUCCUGCUGCAUGGUGGGGGUUGGAAAGUUUCGGCGGUUGGGGAUGGACCCGCGGCUUAUCAGCUUGUUGGUGGGGUAGUGGCUUACCAAGGCUUUGACGGGUAGCCGGCCUGAGAGGGUGACCGGCCACAUUGGGACUGAGAUACGGCCCAGACUCCUACGGGAGGCAGCAGUGGGGAAUAUUGCACAAUGGGCGGAAGCCUGAUGCAGCAACGCCGCGUGCGGGAUGACGGCCUUCGGGUUGUAAACCGCUUUCGCCUGUGACGAAGCGUGAGUGACGGUAAUGGGUAAAGAAGCACCGGCUAACUACGUGCCAGCAGCCGCGGUGAUACGUAGGGUGCGAGCGUUGUCCGGAUUUAUUGGGCGUAAAGGGCUCGUAGGUGGUUGAUCGCGUCGGAAGUGUAAUCUUGGGGCUUAACCCUGAGCGUGCUUUCGAUACGGGUUGACUUGAGGAAGGUAGGGGAGAAUGGAAUUCCUGGUGGAGCGGUGGAAUGCGCAGAUAUCAGGAGGAACACCAGUGGCGAAGGCGGUUCUCUGGGCCUUUCCUGACGCUGAGGAGCGAAAGCGUGGGGAGCGAACAGGCUUAGAUACCCUGGUAGUCCACGCUGUAAACGGUGGGUACUAGGUGUGGGGUCCACUCCACGGGUUCCGUGCCGUAGCUAACGCUUUAAGUACCCCGCCUGGGGAGUACGGCCGCAAGGCUAAAACUCAAAGGAAUUGACGGGGCCCCGCACAAGCGGCGGAGCAUGCGGAUUAAUUCGAUGCAACGCGUAGAACCUUACCUGGGUUUGACAUGGAUCGGGAGUGCUCAGAGAUGGGUGUGCCUCUUUUGGGGUCGGUUCACAGGUGGUGCAUGGCUGUCGUCAGCUCGUGUCGUGAGAUGUUGGGUUAAGUCCCGCAACGAGCGCAACCCUUGUUCACUGUUGCCAGCACGUUAUGGUGGGGACUCAGUGGAGACCGCCGGGGUCAACUCGGAGGAAGGUGGGGAUGACGUCAAGUCAUCAUGCCCCUUAUGUCCAGGGCUUCACGCAUGCUACAAUGGCUGGUACAGAGAGUGGCGAGCCUGUGAGGGUGAGCGAAUCUCGGAAAGCCGGUCUCAGUUCGGAUUGGGGUCUGCAACUCGACCUCAUGAAGUCGGAGUCGCUAGUAAUCGCAGAUCAGCAACGCUGCGGUGAAUACGUUCCCGGG